AGGACGAACGCUGGCGGCGUGCCUAACACAUGCAAGUCGAGCGAGGAGAUCCUCGGGAUGAUCCUAGCGGCGGACGGGUGAGUAACACGUGGGCAACCUGCCUCAUAGAGAGGAAUAGCCUUCCGAAAGGGAGAUUAAUACCUCAUAACAUUGCAGUUUCGCAUGGAACAGCAAUUAAAGGAGUAAUCCGCUAUGAGAUGGGCCCGCGGCGCAUUAGCUAGUUGGUGAGGUAAUGGCUCACCAAGGCGACGAUGCGUAGCCGACCUGAGAGGGUGAUCGGCCACAUUGGGACUGAGACACGGCCCAGACUCCUACGGGAGGCAGCAGUGGGGAAUAUUGCACAAUGGGGGAAACCCUGAUGCAGCCAACGCCGCGUGAGUGAUGACGGCCUUCGGGUUGUAAAGCUCUGUCUUCAGGGACGAUAAUGACGGUACCUGAGGAGGAAGCCACGGCUAACUACGUGCCAGCAGCAGC
rnacentral:rRNA from 1 species